CAACUUUCAACAAUGGAUCUCUUGGCUCUGGCAUCGAUGAAGAACGCAGCGAAAUGCGAUACGUAAUGUGAAUUGCAGAAUCCAGUGAAUCAUCGAAUCUUUGAACGCACAUUGCGCCCGCCAGUAUUCUGGCGGGCAUGCCUGUCCGAGCGUCAUUU
rnacentral:rRNA from 1 species